rnacentral:tRNA from 1 species
GAGAGAUAAGUAUUUAGUGUACGACUAAUUUGAAAUUAGUGUGUGGUGGUUCGACUCCCCCAUCUCUUG